UACGAAGGGGGCUAGCGUUGCUCGGAAUUACUGGGCGUAAAGGGCGCGCAGGCGGCUUGGUCAGUCAGGCGUGAAAUUCCUGGGCUUAACCUGGGGACUGCGCUUGAUACGGCCAGGCUUGAGGAUGGAAGAGGGUCGCGGAAUUCCCAGUGUAGAGGUGAAAUUCGUAGAUAUUGGGAAGAACACCGGUGGCGAAGGCGGCGACCUGGUCCAUUACUGACGCUGAGGCGCGACAGCGUGGGGAGCAAACAGG
rnacentral:rRNA from 1 species